GCUCAGUUGGUAGAGCAUGGUGUUUGCAUGGUGUUUGCAACGCCAGCAUGGUGUGUGCAACGCCAGGGUUGUGGGUUCGAUUCCCACAUGGGGCC
rnacentral:tRNA from 1 species